ACCUGGCUUAGAUUUUAUUAAUUUUUAUUUUAUGUCUCCGAGUGUUUCUCCUGCAUCUGUGAACAUGUGCCCCGUGCACGCCUGGUGCCAGUGGAGGCCAGGAGAGGAUUCCGGGCUGCCUGGAUCUGGUGUUACAGAUACUUGAGCCGCCAUGUGCGUACUAGGAGCCAAACCCAGGUCCUCUGCGCGAGCGGUACGUGCUCCUCACCGCUGAGCCAUCUCUCCAGCUCCCAUACCUGGCUUUUUGGAUGAGUCCUCGUGAUCAAACUUGGGUCAUCUUGCUCGAGUGACAAGACCUUUGCAUUCUGACCCGUCUUCCUAGUUCUGAAUCUCCUUUUGAAGUGCACAAAGGAAAUACUCUCCAAUGAAAGCUUUGGGAUAACGUUUUUGGAACAGAAACUAUCCUUUGAGGUAGAGCCUGUCCAGCAUUACAUGAGGAUAUAGGAAAGAACCGAGGGCCUCUGCCUACCUUUGUGUACCUGAUAGGACAAGCUGAUUUUGGGAGGGACACCGAGUAUACUUGGCUUCCCCAGUCAGGGAGCCCCACUCUCAGAGUGACCAGGAAGGACGGACAACGCGUGAUGCCCACAAAUUAGAAGGUUCCACGGGAACAGCAGAGGCUAUGAGGACUUGACGGGGGACACUGUCACCUGUUCCUGCUCCAAACAUGAGAGGGAUUGCCCAGGGUGGUACCCUAUCUCUCUGUGUCCCUAAUGGUUGAGCUAGUCCCUCCCCAUGGCAACUAGAAGAGUCACUCGGGGAAUUCAGACAUCAUCAACCUCAUCAGCCGUCAGGGAAAUGCAAACUGAGCUUACACUGACAUUCAGCCUCCCCCAGACUGAACACAGUCAUUAAGAAGACAGAUGGCAGAGCUGGGGAGACGGGUCAGCAGUUUGUGUGCCUGGCGGCUCUUACGGAAGACCUCAGUCUGGCUCCCCGAACCCAGGUGGCCCCAAACCAUCUGUAACUCCAGUUCCAACGGGAUUUGUGCCUCAUCUGACCCCCAAGGGCUCCUGUAUGUAUGUACACACUCAGGAAUGCAU